UACGUAGGGCGCAAGCGUUAUCCGGAAUUAUUGGGCGUAAAGAGCUCGUAGGCGGUUUGUCGCGUCUGCUGUGAAAACCCGAGGCUCAACCUCGGGCCUGCAGUGGGUACGGGGCAGACUAGAGUGCGGUAGGGGGAGAUUGGAAUUCCUGGUGUAGCGGUGGAAUGCGCAGAUAUCAGGAGGAACACCAAUGGCGAAGGCAGAUCUCUGGGCCGUAACUGACGCUGAGGAGCGAAAGCAUGGGGAGCGAACAGG
rnacentral:rRNA from 1 species